rnacentral:rRNA from 1 species
GACGAACGCUGGCGGCGUGCUUAACACAUGCAAGUCGAACGGAAAGGCCCUGCUUUUGUGGGGUGCUCGAGUGGCGAACGGGUGAGUAACACGUGAGUAACAUGCCCUUGACUUUGGGAUAACUUCAGGAAACUGGGGCUAAUACCGGAUAGGAGCUCCUGCUGCAUGGUGGGGGUUGGAAAGUUUCGGCGGUUGGGGAUGGACUCGCGGCUUAUCAGCUUGUUGGUGGGGUAGUGGCUUACCAAGGCUUUGACGGGUAGCCGGCCUGAGAGGGUGACCGGCCACAUUGGGACUGAGAUACGGCCCAGACUCCUACGGGAGGCAGCAGUGGAGAAUAUUGCACAAUGGGCGGAAGCCUGAUGCAGCAACGCCGCGUGCGGGAUGACGGCCUUCGGGUUGUAAACCGCUUUCGCCUGUGACGAAGCGUGAGUGACGGUAAUGGGUAAAGAAGCACCGGCUAACUACGUG